rnacentral:lncRNA from 10 species
AUUUCCUACUAUAGGAGGCAGACUCCAAAAUGACCCCAAUGACCUUGCUUUCUGGGUGUUCAUGCCCUUGUAUAAUCCCUUCCCACUGAGUGAGGGCUGAAUGACAGAUUUCCAACAACCAGAAUACAACAAAAGUAAUGGAAUGCCACUUCUCAGAUUAGUUGAAAAAAAAAGACUGUGAUUUGUGCCUCUUUUGUCCUCUUGCUCUCUCUCUCUCAGCCCUCACUAUUGGGAAGCAAGUUGCCAUCUUAUGAGCAGGGAGAGGCCCACAUCCCAAGGAGCUGAUGUUUCUGGCCAACAGCCAGUGAGGACCUGAGGCCUGCCAGGUCACAUGAGGGAGCCUGGAAGUGGGUCUUCUCAGUCCUGCCAACAGCUGUGAGUGAGCAUGGACGCAGAUCCUCUCCCAGUGGAGCAUUUGGAUGACCACGGCUCUGGCUAACACCUCACUUACAGCCUUGGGAGAGAUUCUGAGUCAGAGGCAUCCAGCUAAAUUGACCCACAGACACGGCCUAUAAAAGCCCCAGGCUCAGCCAGAGCAGAGCAGAUGAUGGAUGACCAGCUGCAGAGAAGAGCUACCCUUUCUGCUGACAGCAGAAGAUGUCCCAACAACCAGCAGAAGAGAGAAGCUAUCCAUUCUAGGGCCUCUUCUCUGCUGAGAGCUUCAGAAACCUGCAGAGACAUCGAGACUACCAGCUGCAGAGUGGAACAAUCCACUCCAGGGCCACCUCUCUGCUGAGAGCUAAGAAGACAAUGAGAUGACCUGCCUGCUAGGAGGAGCUUCCCUCUCCAGGGUCUCCUUUCUGCUAGGAGCUGAACUCUCAUUGGAACAUCCUGGCUGUGGAAAGGAGCUACCCUCUGCAGGUCUCCUGUGUGCUGUUCUAUUGAUCAAUAAAGCUCCCCUUCAUCUCGCUCAUCCUCCACUUGGCUCUGUACCUCAUGCUUCCUAGUUGCAGGACAAGAACUCGGGACCUACCAAAUGGCAGAGCUAAAAGAGCUAUAACACAGGACUGAAACAUGCCCCCUGCUUGCCACAUUGAGGGCAAAGAGAAGGAGAUAAGAUCUGUGCCUUCUCAGGCAGCCCAGACCUGGGAGCUCCCUGAGCCAGGGCUGUGACUCCCUCUUUGGGGUCCUGUGGUGCCUAGUAUCUCCAAGCUUCCAGGUGCCACUGCAUUUCCCGGUGCCAGCUGGGGAAGCUUCCUGCAGUGCACCUGGUCUGGCCACAGCCUCACAGAGAGUCAGUGCCUGUGCCAGCACCUGUAACUGCCCGCCCCAUUGCAGCAGCCGGCAUGUCCGAUUGCACACUGGCUGAACCCCAUGCUCCCUCACACACCCCUUGCCACUCCAUGCCUGACUUACCCUUGGCAGGUAUGGGAUCCAGGCCAGUAGUGUCAGCCAAGUAAAGCCUGCCAGGCCAGGUAGGCAGAACAAACCCAGCGGGCCUAAGCAAGACUUGGGCAAAGACAUCACCAGCCAGAAAAACAAUAUCCCAAGAAUCUUGUGACACUAGGCAUAGUGAAGUUCUUUAUUAAUUUGUAGAUUUUUAACCUGGAAAAUUCUAAUAUUUUCAACUAUUAAAAAAGAUAAUCCCCAAAAUAAUGCUUUAUUGUCAUGUAAAAUAUUAAAUAGAUUGUAUGUAACUUAGCUAUAUUAUUCUAAGAUAAAAUUCAUUAACUUGUCUUUAAGAAACUAGUUCCUAAAAUGCACUUUGAACUGUAUUUAUAAUCUCACUAGUCCUCUACUUAAUUAGGAAGUGGAAUAAAAUAUUUGAUAUAUUUUCUUUUUAUAUUUACAAAAGUCACCAUUUAAAUUCUUUGAAUUUUAACAUGUUAUACUUUUGGAGGAUCCACUGAGACACUAAAGUGGGUUCAUAAAGCCAACCAAACUGUGAUAGCACAGAAAUGUACUUCAGGAGCUGUUUAGGAGGAGAGACUUUUCUUUCUCCUCAAAGUGAUUCUCAAAUAGCAAUAGAGUCCUGGUGCAGUGGCUCAUGCCUACAAUCGAGCACUUUGGGAGGCCAAGGUGGGAGAAUUGUUUGAGCCCAGGAGUUCAAGAUCAGCAUAGGCAACAUAGCGAGACCUCAUCUCUACAAAAAAUACAGAAAUUAGCCAGGUGUGCCGGCAUGUGCUGUGUUUUUUGUCCAGCUACUUGGGAGGCUGAAGUGGAGGGAUUUCUUGAAACUGGGAGGUCAAGACUGAAGUAAGCCAUGAUCCUGCCACUAUACUCCUACAUGGGGGAAAGAGCAAGACUCUGUCUCAAAAAAAAAAAAAAAAAAAGAAAAAAAGAAAAAAAAGGCAAUAGAACUGUACCUUUGCUGUGAUGCUAGUCUACUACAAGUUGGCUUUUUUCUUUAAAUUUUGAAUUUUUCAUUUUCUUUUCUAGUUCUUCACCAUUUUGGUUCUGGAUAUAGUUUCCACUAGAAGAUGAUAAUGAUGAUAAUGAUAAUCCCCAUGCAUGCAUUAAUAAUUGGGAAUGUAAUUUUAUAAUCUGAACUUUAAAGACCUCUGUUAAGAUUAAAGGGAUUUCUUGUCCUUCAUAUGAGACAUGACAAGGAAUGAGAGUUGCAUUUUUUAAAUUCUUUGUUUCUCUAUUUGUGUAUCCAAAUAAUUUCAUAAAACAUUUUAUAACUACUAGAAGGGAAAAUAAUCCUUUGAAAUCUUGAACAGUGUAUUUUGGUGUUUCCUUGAUUACUUAAUCUGUUGCAGAGAUUGUUAUAAUUAAAGCUACAAUUUUCUCUGUGUUGCUAUAACUCAGAAGUCAUUCUCUCUCAUUCUGUAUGAAGUAUUUUCCUAAGAAGAGUAUUAAUAAAUAAAAUUUAGAAGUCUCUGAAUUUUAAGGAGCUAAGAUAUAAUUGGUUUACAUAGUAUAAGAAGUUCAUGAAUCUAUAGUAAUAUCUAAAGAAAACUUCAAAUGUACUAGUAAUUUAGGGAAAAAAUUCUUCUUAAAGGAUCUGCUAGCAGCUUAGAAAGAUUUUAAUUUACGAAUCUAAAUUCAUGCAAUAAAAGUGAAUCUUUGUAGACUAUGUGUUAAGCCACAAGACAAGCCUCAACAAAUUUUUAAAAAAUGAAAUCACAUCAACU